ACCAAAGCCAGGCUAAAACUUCAAUUCCUAUCCAGGCUCCAGUUACUGGUACAACAGCCAGUGAAAACCAUUGCCAGCCAAGGUCUUACCUCAACAAAGAUGGACUCAGUGCAUUCCCCCAUCUCUGCUGACUAUAUUCCAGAAAUUUCUAAUGAUACAGCUCACUCACAGUUUACUACACCUUCUGUACAUAAUGAAUCCAAGCAACUAUGCAAAUUUGUUGUACCAUCCCAAUAUAUUUCCAAUUUCAUCCCUGCUGUCUACAGUAUCAUCUUUAUCUUGGGAUUCAUUGGAAACAGUGUGGUCAUCGCCGUCUUGUGUCAUCGCUCCCAUUUGAGAACUGUUGCUAACAUUUAUAUAAUCAACUUAUCAAUUGCCGACUUGGUAUUUUUAUCCACUCUUCCAAUUUGGGCGGUCUAUUAUGCUACUGGGUACAGUUGGCAUUUUGGGUCAGUGAUGUGUAAAAUAUGCAGCUCCCUUGUGUCUCUGAAUUUGUAUGCCAGUAUAUAUUUCAUUACAUGCAUGAGUAUUGAUCGUUACCUGGUAAUUCUCCACCCUUUUGGAUCCCAGUCUGAGAAAUCUCUGUACCAAGCUCGCUGUGUCAUAAUCCUGGUAUGGACUUUGGCUUUAGUUGCCACCUUUCCAACCAUUUACUUUCAGCGUGCGCAUCACAUCGAGGAGAUAGGGAAUAUGGUGUGUGCAAUGGUUUACCCCUCCAAUGAUGCCAAUCACUGGUCUGCAGCCAUGUCUUUCAUGAUAAAUAUCUUGGGUUUCUUCAUUCCCUUCACAGUAAUAGGCACAUGCUAUGGUUUUGUUGCCUGUCAUUUGAUGAGAAUGGAAGGACGAGAAAAAAACAAACAUAAACGAGACAAAGCAUUGUGGAUGGUCAUUGCAGUCGUGCUGGCUUUUUUCAUCUGCUGGUUGCCAUUUCAUGCAUUAACUUUCCUGGAUGCAUUGUCAAAGAUGAAUUUCAUCACCAAUUGUCGAACUAUCACUGCGAUCAAAACUGCAAUGCCGAUUGCCAUUUGCCUUGGUUUUGCAAAUAGCUGCAUCAACCCUUUUAUUUACUACUUUAUGGAAGAUCACUUUCAGGUACAUCUUACUGACAUGGCUCAGAGUGGAUCCAUUAAGCUCCACAACCGGAGAAACUCAUCGACCAGGAUAAGCUCCCUCUCCCAGAGGAACAACGACAUGGGGGAUACGGAUGUUAAGAAUUCAUGAGAUGUUGGAUUAAGUGAAGCCACCAUUGCUACACACACUCCCCUCCCAACACUACCACCUUGCUGUUGAUUGCAUUCUAAUUUUUGAUUUUCAAAGAUGGGAACCUAUCAGCUGGAAGACAGUGGAACAAUUCCCAAGAAGUCUGAAUCACAAAGUGACUAUCUGGUGUCUGUGCAUUCUUCGUAUAGUGCCGAUAACAUGGAGUCUAUGAAAAAGAAGAUCGCCAUUCAGGAUGAAAUGUUAAAGAAACUAAUCACUCUGGAGAUUAAAUUGACCGAAUUAGAGAAGAUUUUGAUCUCCAAAUAUGGGAAUAAAACACCUGUUUCAAGUUAAACAUUCUAUCCAAUUGAUGCUACAAAAUGCCACAUAAUGCCACAUAAUUGUAGUCAUGCUAACCUGUACAGAAGGGGAAUAAAGUAGCAACAAAAGCAAGAACUGAAAA